CAAAACGUAGCUUAAUAAAAGCAUUUCGCUUACACCGAAAAAAUAUCCGUUAGACCCAGAUCGUUUUGA
rnacentral:tRNA from 1 species